CGAAGGCCGGGGUCACGGCGGCCUUGAUGAGGGGGUUGAUUUUGCCCAUGCCAGCCAGGCCGUGGUAGUAGAAGUCAUUAGCGCUGACGCUAGACUUGCACGGGUAGCCGGCCGGCGUGUCGCUGCAGGACAGGUCAGCGACGCAGAAGUCCUGCGUCAGCGCGAGGGAGGCGAAGGGCAGGAGGAGGAAGGAGAGGAGCACGGGGAGCAGCACCAUCUUGGCCAUGGCAACGGCUUACUACACAGCUAGCUCGAGAUAGUUUGAUGUGUGGAU
rnacentral:lncRNA from 1 species